AGUGAACGCUGGCGGUAGGCCUAACACAUGCAAGUCGAACGGCAGCACAGUAAGAGCUUGCUCUUACGGGUGGCGAGUGGCGGACGGGUGAGGAAUACAUCGGAAUCUACUUUUUCGUGGGGGAUAACGUAGGGAAACUUACGCUAAUACCGCAUACGACCUACGGGCGAAAGCAGGGGAUCUUCGGACCUUGCGCGAUUGAAUGAGCCGAUGUCGGAUUAGCUAGUUGGCGGGGUAAAGGCCCACCAAGGCGACGAUCCGUAGCUGGUCUGAGAGGAUGAUCAGCCACACUGGAACUGAGACACGGUCCAGACUCCUACGGGAGGCAGCAGUGGGGAAUAUUGUACAAUGGGCGCAAGCCUGAUCCAGCCAUACCGCGUGGGUGAAGAAGGCCUUCGGGUUGUAAAGCCCUUUUGUUGGGAAAGAAAAGCAGCAGGUUAAUACCCCGCUGUUCUGACGGUACCCAAAGAAUAAGCACCGGCUAACUUCGUG
rnacentral:rRNA from 1 species